rnacentral:rRNA from 1 species
GAGCCCUGAGAGAUGAUCAGGUAGAUAGGUUAGGAGUGGAAGUUGUGUGAGCAAUGUAGCGGACUAAUACUAAUAGCUCGAAGACUUAUCCGA